AGAGUUUGAUCCUGGCUCAGCCUGAACGCUGGCGGCGUGGCUAAGACAUGCAAGUCGUACGGGAUCCGCAAGGGUCCAGUGGCGGACGGGUGAGUAAUGAAUCGCUAAUGUACCCCAGAGUCUGGGAUAGCUGCCCGAAAGGGCAGGUAAUACCAGAUGAUAUAUCCGGUUGGCAUCAACUGGAUCUCAAAGGAGCAAUACGCUCUGGGAGCAGGCGAUUUCGUAUCAGCUUGUUGGUGAGGUAACGGCUCACCAAGGCGACGACGCGUAGCUGGUCUGAGAGGACGGCCAGCCACAUUGGGACUGAGACACUGCCCAGACUCCUACGGGGGGCUGCAGUAACGAAUCUUCCGCAAUGCACGCAAGUGUGACGGAGCGACGCCGCGUGUGGGACGAAGUCCUUCGGGAUGUAAACCACUGUCAGGGGUUAGAAAGUUCUGAUCAACCCCAGAGGAAGAGACGGCUAACUCUGUGCCAGCAGCCGCGGUAAUACAGAGGUCUCGAGCGUUAGGCGGAAUCACUGGGCUUAAAGCGUGUGUAGGUGGAUGCCUAAGUACCUUGUGAAAUCCCACAGCUUAACUGUGGAACUGCUUGGUAUACUGGGUGUCUUGAGUCACUCAAGGGCGAGCGGAACAAAUGGUGGAGCGGUGAAAUGCGUAGAUAUCAUUUGGAACGCCAAUGGUGAAAACAGCUCGCUGGGGGUGUACUGACACUGAGACACGAAAGCCAGGGGAGCGAACGGGAUUAGAUACCCCGGUAGUCCUGGCCGUAAACGAUGUCGACUAGAUCCGGGUGGCUCUGACGUCAUCACGGUCGAAGCAAAAGUGCUAAGUCGACCGCCUGGGAAGUACGGUCGCAAGGCUAAAACUCAAAGGAAUGACGAAGGCGAAUCGUACCCGUUU
rnacentral:rRNA from 1 species